AGAGUUUGAUCCUGGCUCAGGAUGAACGCUAGCUACAGGCUUAACACAUGCAAGUCGCAGGGUAACGUGAGGGAAGCUUGCUUCCCUUGACGACGACUGGCGCACGGGUGAGUAACGCGUAUCCAACCUUCCCAUGACCACGGGAUAACCCGUUGAAAGACGGACUAAUACCGUAUGACGUCGUUUGCUGACAUCAAAUAACGAUUAAAGGUUUAGCGGUGAUGGAUGGGGAUGCGUCUGAUUAGCUUGUUGGCGGGGUAACGGCCCACCAAGGCGACGAUCAGUAGGGGUUCUGAGAGGAAGGUCCCCCACAUUGGAACUGAGACACGGUCCAAACUCCUACGGGAGGCAGCAGUGAGGAAUAUUGGUCAAUGGGCGAGAGCCUGAACCAGCCAAGUAGCGUGCAGGAUGACGGCCCUAUGGGUUGUAAACUGCUUUUAUGCGGGGAUAAAGUGCGCGACGUGUCGCGCAUUGCAGGUACCGCAUGAAUAAGGACCGGCUAAUUCCGUGCCAGCAGCCGCGGUAAUACGGAAGGUCCGGGCGUUAUCCGGAUUUAUUGGGUUUAAAGGGAGCGUAGGCCGCCAGGUAAGCGUGUUGUGAAAUGUACCGGCUCAACCGGUGAAUUGCAGCGCGAACUGUCUGGCUUGAGUGCACGGUAAGCAGGCGGAAUUCAUGGUGUAGCGGUGAAAUGCUUAGAUAUCAUGAAGAACUCCGAUUGCGAAGGCAGCUUGCUGCAGUGCGACUGACGCUGAUGCUCGAAGGUGCGGGUAUCAAACAGGAUUAGAUACCCUGGUAGUCCGCACGGUAAACGAUGGAUGCCCGCUGUCCGCCCCUUUGUGGCGGGUGGCCAAGCGAAAGCGUUAAGCAUCCCACCUGGGGAGUACGCCGGCAACGGUGAAACUCAAAGGAAUUGACGGGGGCCCG
rnacentral:rRNA from 1 species